rnacentral:snRNA from 1 species
AAACCUUGUUACCCCUUCCUUUAUUUGUCACCCCAUUGCUUCCAGGGUUGAUUCAGUUGAUCUGGCUGGUGAGGCAGGUGUCCCUUCCUCCCUUACUGCUCCAUGUGCAUCCUUCCUGAAGCUGCACACAUAAUGGAAGAGGACAACCAUCCCAAAUAGAGGAGUACCAGUCUUUGCUCAAGGGUAUACGAGUAGCUGUGCUCACCUUCUAGAACCUCCAAACAAGAUCUCAAAUCUAUUCUUGCACGAAUGGUGUUUUAUGUCUCAAUGUUUGAAUUAUAGUUUUCCUCUUACAUUCCCAGGAA